UAAAAGGUCCCUUUGUCUCAAGCAACUUCAUUCACUCGACAAAGCUUGACUUGACCAACGCUUGACUCAGUGAACAACAGGGUUAUCCAAUCCACAGAAAAGAUGAGUCAGCAACAACAAAGUGGAAGCUGCUGCUGUUGUGGUGGUAGAGGCUGUGGUUGCUGUGGUGGCAGCCGCAGUGGCGGGGGAUGCUGUGGUGGCAGCCGUGGUGUGGUUUCCUCUCAGCAGAGUCAGAGCAGCGGCGGAUGUUGCGGCGGCCGUAGUGGUGGCGGAUGUGGCGGCAGCAGCAGAGGUGGUGGGUGCUGUGGCGGUAGCAGCAGCGGCGGCGGUGGCUGCUGUGGUGGCAGCAGUGGCGGCGGAUGUUGUGGUGGACAACAAAGUCAACAGAAAGUCUACCCCCAGAAGCUGAAGUAGAUGCCUUCAAGGAUGGUUGAAAUACUCAAUUAUUAUAAUCACUUCUUAUAUAUUCCCCUUCCUUCAUGCAAACUGUAGUUUGGCUGAAAUCAUGAGCUUUCCCCAAUGUGAAUGAUGUAAAUAUUCAGACUUUCUUCUUGAAAACCCAUUAAAAGUUUCUUGCAAACCAAGAAA